GAUGAACGCUGGCGGCGUGCCUAAUACAUGCAAGUCGAGCGAACAGACGAGGAGCUUGCUCCUCUGACGUUAGCGGCGGACGGGUGAGUAACACGUGGAUAACCUACCUAUAAGACUGGGAUAACUUCGGGAAACCGAAGCUAAUACCGGAUAAUAUAUUGAACCGCAUGGUUCAAUAGUGAAAGACGGUUUUGCUGUCACUUAUAGAUGGAUCCGCGCCGCAUUAGCUAGUUGGUAAGGUAACGGCUUACCAAGGCGACGAUGCGUAGCCGACCGGAGAGGGUGAUCGCCGACAUUGGAACUGAGCCGCGGUCCAGGGGCCUGAGAGAGGCCGCAGUCGCCAACGGGACGCAAUGGGCGAGAGCCUGACGCAGCAAGGGCGCGUGUGUGACAGAGGCCUCGCGAGCGUAAAACCGUGUUAUGAGUUAAAAACAAAUGUCAAAGCAACUAAGGACGUAUUGACGGUACCUACACAGAAAGCCACGGCUAACUACGUG
rnacentral:rRNA from 1 species